UACGUAGGGUGCGAGCGUUGUCCGGAAUUAUUGGGCGUAAAGGGCUCGUAGGCGGUUUGUCGCGUCGGGAGUGAAAUCCACUGGCUUAACUGGUGGCUUGCUUUCGAUACGGGCAGACUGGAGGUAUGCAGGGGAGGACGGAAUUCCUGGUGUAGCGGUGAAAUGCGCAGAUAUCAGGAGGAACACCGGUGGCGAAGGCGGUUCUCUGGGCAUGUCCUGACGCUGAGGAGCGAAAGUGUGGGGAGCGAACAGG
rnacentral:rRNA from 1 species